GCCUUAGGAGGACAUGCUAAAGAAUGCAAAUAAUCAAGGAACAACCAUCCUCCAUAAUCUGAAGGUAGAUUAUACUUUGGGAGAUUUCGAGGUAAUUUUAUGGAGCUACACAUAUUGGUGGUUGUUUAGGGGAGUUAACGGGCUCUCAUAUUCAUCGCUUUUCAUGGAGAAGGUAUCUAUCCGGCGACCCUUAGACGUGAAGCCCAACUUUGGAAAGGUCUAGAACAAAAAUGAUGAUCUACAUUGGCUUCAAUG